ACUUAAAUUGAAGAGUUUGAUCAUGGCUCAGAUUGAACGCUGGCGGCAGGCCUAACACAUGCAAGUCGAGCGGUAGCACAGAGAGCUUGCUCUCGGGUGACGAGCGGCGGACGGGUGAGUAAUGUCUGGGAAACUGCCUGAUGGAGGGGUAUAACUACUGGAAACGGUAGCUAAUACCGCAUAA
rnacentral:rRNA from 1 species